CGGUUUUACCAGAGCUUGGAGAUGACGUCGUCUCCAAGCGCCGGCCAGAAGACACUGCACUCGGGUGCUGUGUAAACGGCGCUGACCCAGGAUAUUCCCGGGUUGGCGCCGUUGUGGAAAUGAGGUCCGUCUCGGGUGUGACCUGGCUUGGAACCGUGUUCCAAAUCCUGGGUCAGACCAGAGACUUCUAGUAAAAAAGGGGUACCUAUUUAAUGGCCAUGCCAUUUGUCGACUGGUCGAAAAAUAUGCCCGGGCGAAAACCACGUGUUUGACUGUUUUGGGUCCGCUAUUGAAACACGGAGGUCGAAUUAGUGCCGAUUUUCAGACUUUCUGAAUAUUUGGCACUAAUUGAAUAUACCACAGAAAUGUUCAUUGAUAACCUUGGCCAGUAACUGAGGCGCCCACAGCUCUCAGCUCAACUGAGAAAAUGCAAUCUUACAGUUCCUGCAGUUCCAUUAGACGCCCCAUCCCGCAGUUAGACUUCUGGAGCUUGUACUUACCAGAACCGGACAAGCACAGCUGCCAGAUUUAAACCAGAACGCUGCCAAUUGUGGAGUAUAAUAAACAUAACUUAGAAGAAGCGAAGCUGGAAAGAUCUCCCUAACCAACUGGGCUAUUUCUUUGUUUUAAGUACAGUAUAAUAUUUGUUAUUCACAUGUAUUCUAAGUUUUGAAUUUAACUUUUUUGCUCUUUAAAAAUCACAAAAUGUUCUAUAAGAAAAUAUUUAAAAAUAUAUUUUGUGUACAGAGAAAUUGCCUUUGCUGCACAUUGUGCUUUAUAAAUAGUAGUAGCUGUGAUUUUACUCAGAAGAAAAAGUAUAGACAUUAACUGAACCUUAAACAAGUAAACGUCAGUGCUGCAUAGGUGACAUCCGCCACUGUAUACAAUACACAAUCAAUGAAGUAAACAGGCAUAGAAGCCAUUCUGCAGAGAAAUUAACUGCAGAUGUGUCAUCAUACACCUAUACCUUUUGCGCCAUAUGGCGUGAAACACCUGGCGGAAUUACCAUGCUGUGUACUUUUCAUCAAUUUUGCAUUUUUAAAAAGUCACAAAUCAUGUACUACUGUAGGGGCUUAGUAUUAGUUUCCUGAUGUAUAGGAAUUGGUAUUUAGUGGCACAUUAAGCAUAAUGAUUGAUGGCAUUGGUCAUUCGUAUCGGACCUGACUUGCCUUUUUACCCUGCAUUGUUUACCUUUUUCUCACCUUCACUACUUUCCUUUGUUGUACUAUUUUUUUCUUACAUUUUCUAUCUUUGUUUGCUUAUAGUGUACUGGGUACUACUUACGCUUAGUGUUUUGGCAUGGCUAAGUAGCAAAGUAUGUGGUGGGAUGAACGAGGCUAUCUAGUGUGAGUGGAGGAUAGGUUCAUGUGAACACACUGCAUAUUGGCGCUGACAUUUGAUACAAGCAGCCAUAUUGUUACUGAAGCUCUGGGUAAGGUGAAUACCUUAAAGAUUUUACAGAAUUUUUUUAUUCAGGCAAAAUGCCUAUUUUCUCUAAUUCAUACUAUAGAUGAAUACAACCUACCAGGGGUUGCAUAAUAGCCAUUACAGGUGUGUCCUCAUACACUGGUGCUUCAUUCGCGUCAAACAAAACCUCUCAGAUGCACCGGGAAACGGGCGACUCGGCCGAGCCAAGUGUCUUUCGCUCACAAUGCGAGUCUUAUUUUCACAAAUAAAACAAAACUGCAUUGCUA